GAAAAACCCCAAAUAACCCACAUACUUUAUUCUUGCUGAUUUUUUUUGUCAGCAGCCUGGUUCCUAUAUCCCUGUUCCAGAAUCUUUCACUAUUUAUAAAGCCUGAUCUAGCCAGUUAUGAUAUUGUGUAGUGCAGACAGCUUCCUAUGGAACCAGAAGGGAGGGAACAAAUCAUUCUAACCAGGAUGGGAAUAGGACAUGCUUCACUGAAAAGAUGACAUUAAACUGGGCUUUGAAGGAUGAAUAGGAGUUUUCUGUGUGGGAUUCCAUGAACAGAGGCACAGUGGUGUCAAAGUACAUGGAAUAAUCAGGGAAGAAUGAGGAGUACCUGGAUGUAGAGAAUGUAAUGUGUGCUGUGGGGGUGGAAGAAAUGAGGUGGAAAUCUUGGGAUGGGAUCUUGCUGAUGUAUGCAAAUAUGCCUAAGAAGGGACGAGUAGUUGAGAGCUCAAAUUUGGGAGCCAGGCUGCUUGGGUUCUGAUCUCAGCUGUAAUGCUUCCAGCCAUGGGCUUCUAUUUGCUGUAAAGUGAGAUAAUGGUAGUACUCGCUUCAGAGGGCUGAAGUGAGAAUUAAACGAGUAAAAUAUACGAAGCACUUAGCACCUGAGCAUAGUAAGUGACAUAAACAUUAACCAUUAGUAUUAUAGCAGGAGCCCAGUGAAGGCUGAAUGCAUUUGGUACACAUAUUCGUGCACGUUUGCAUCGCCACAUGUAAUGAGCAGUCCUCAGGAUACGAAAGUGAUGCUAUAACCUGCCUCCAAUCAGUGUGUGUACUUUUUAUUUCUCGGUGGCAGACAUCAAUGCACAUGAAGACAGUAUUAGCGAGCUUGACAGACUCCUCCUGACCAUGGGGCUGCAUUUAUACCUCCUCGGGCUGAAGCUUGGGUUCUGAAAUGGGGACAAAGGGAAGCAGAAAGUCACUCUUAGUGGAGCAGUGGACAGUUAUCAGUGUGAUUCGAGAAGCAUCGUGCCAAGAAAUUGCAGGAAGAGUGAGAGGUGCCAGAAGUCUCAAGUCAGGCAGAUCUUUUCAUAAAGAAGAAAAAGAUAGAUUAAAAAUUAUUAUGAGGAGCUCCUGUCGUGACUCAGUGGUUAAUGAACCCGACUAGUAUCCAUGAGGGCAUGGGUUUUGAUCCCUGGCCUCGCUCAAUGGGUUACGGAUCCGGCAUUGCAGACACAGCUGGGAUCCUGUGUUGCUGUGGCAUAGGCAGGCAGGUGCAGCUCUGAUUCCGAUUCAGCGCCUAGUCUGGGAACUUCCAUAUGCCACUAUGCAGCCCUAAAAAGACAAACAAAAAACAAAAA
rnacentral:lncRNA from 1 species